GCAUCGAACUGCUUCCCUCACUUUCGAUCAGUUGUUGCUCCACGAGAUAAACGUUGGACGCAAGACAUGGGUUCCUGUGUUGCAUACCUAUUGCGACGGAAAUGUGUGCCUUCGAUCGUCCCUUCCAUCACGGCGUCCUCACGGAUGCUCGGUUGGACCGGAUAGCGGGGCUCGUGUUCCACGAACGUCGUCUCAUUCGACCGUUCGGAUGGACCACGGGUGCCCACUCGUUCUCUCGGAUGCGGAAAUCUCUUGAUGGGCGUGGGGUCAUUGGCCCUUGGUCCCUAAUCGUUAAGCGUUUAUCGCUUCACCGGAAUGACGAUCUCGCCUUGUCCUUGACCACGCGAAGCCCUCGGGCAUCGCGACGGAUCAUGCUCGGCGGACGUCGUGAAGGAAUGC
rnacentral:misc_RNA from 1 species